GUGCCAGCAGCCGCGGUAAAACGUAGGAGACAAACGUUAUCCGGAGUUACUGGGCGUAAAGGGCGUGUAGGUGGUUUCGUAAGUCUGGCGUGAAAUUUCUCGGCUUAACCGAGGCAGGUCGUCGGAUACUGCGAGGCUAGAGGACGGUAGAGGCGUGUGGAAUUCCGGGUGUAGUGGUGAAAUGCGUAGAGAUCCGGAGGAACACCAGUGGCGAAGGCGACACGCUGGGCCGUACCUGACACUGAUGCGCGACAGCAUGGGGAGCAAACAGGAUUAGAAACCCCCGUAGUCC
rnacentral:rRNA from 1 species